GCCAUCAGCCAUACUGCUGUGAAUGAGCCCAAUGUCAUCUGAACCCAGGAGCUAAGCAGGGGUGGGCAAGCUUAGUACUUAGAUGGGACCUCACCUGGGAAUACCAGAUGCUGUGGACA
rnacentral:rRNA from 1 species